GAGAAAAUCAGAAAGGCCAAGCUUCGGAGGUUCUUCUCUUUUCCAUUCGAGAUACUUAGCUGGCCAAGGCACCAUACUUUGAGGACAACAAAUAACCCAAACUGAGGUAAGAGAUGUAGACUUGGGCAAAUCAGACAACCAAGCAAGCAGAAUGUAUCAAAGGCCAUAAAAAGCCACGACUGAUGGAUUGAGUCAAAAAGAG
rnacentral:lncRNA from 1 species